UACGUAGGGUGCAAGCGUUACUCGGAAUUACUGGGCGUAAAGCGUGCGCAGGCGGUCCGUUAAGACAGAUGUGAAAUCCCCGGGCUUAACCUGGGAACUGCAUUUGUGACUGGCGGGCUAGAGUAUGGCAGAGGGGGGUAGAAUUCCACGUGUAGCAGUGAAAUGCGUAGAGAUCGGGAGGAACACCCGUGGCGAAGGCGGCCAACUGGGAUACACCUGACGCUGAGGCACGAAGGCGUGGGGAGCGAACGGG
rnacentral:rRNA from 1 species